ACAAAUGUAACAAAAAAUAAAUAAAAAUGAAAACAAUUGUAGAUGUGCAGUAUAACUGUAUUACAGAACAAAUAUAUGAUUAUAAUAAUAUAUAUGUAUAUGUUUGUGUUCGUGUACAUAGCUCUGUAAUAAAACAAAAAAAUGUAUUUUAAAGUAAGAUACAAAUAAGAAAUCCAAAAUAUUUAAAAAAAACAUGAAAACAUAUUUAUUUAAUUAUUUAAAAUAUCUGAAAAAAUAAAGAAAAAAACAUAAUAGUAAAAAAAAAAAUUAUAAAAUUAUAUACAUUAACUAUCAGAACGUUGUAUAAUAAGAAAACAUUUAAAAGCCAAUUAGACAGCAAUAUAAAAGAUUUAUUCAUAAUUAUUGUAAUAAUGUAUAAAAAUUAAAUAUAUAGUUACAUAUGAAAACAUACAUGUUAAUUUUUUUUUUUAUUUUUAAGGAUUAUGAAGAAGAAAUUUUUAGAUUACAAAAAAUAAUCAAGGAUAGGGAAAAUGAAAACGUGGAAUUAAGAGUUAAUUUUCGAGAAUUACUGCAAGAAAAAAUUAAAUUAGAAGAAGAUAUUGAAAAUUAUGAGAAGGCUAUUUACGAAAUUAACGAAAAUACAACUGCGUUGAAAGAAGCACAUAAGGCAGAAAUAAAAGAAAUUCAAGAAGAAAACUGGAAUCUUUAUUUACAGAUAGAUUUGCUUAAGGAAAACUUAAAUAUUUUGGAAGAAAAAUGUAAUCAGUUACAGAAUUUUAAUGAAGAUAAAACUAAAAACAUUGAUAUUUUAAAUAAAGAAGUACAGGACUUGAUGAUAAUAUAAUAUUGUGUUUAUUUUUUACCGUUUUCGAUACGAUAAUUGAUUUUUUACUACACACAUUAAUUAGGAUAAGAAAACGACAUAUGCAAUAGAAAUUGACAAAAUUUUAAUAGAAAAAAAUAAUAUUAGAAUUGAAAGGGAAGAAUUUGAUAAAUCUAAAACAGAAUUUAAAAUAAUAGAAGAAAAGUUAUACGAAGAAAAAAAAGAAUUUGAAAAGAACAAAGAUGAGUUUUUAAAAGAAGUAAAACAACUACAAAAAUGUAUAGAUAUAUUGGAAAAAGAAAAAAAAGAAAUAUUGGAAAAUAAAAAAAAGUUAGAAACAGACA
rnacentral:lncRNA from 1 species